rnacentral:rRNA from 1 species
UGGGGAAUAUUGCACAAUGGGCGCAAGCCUGAUGCAGCCAUGCCGCGUGUAUGAAGAAGGCCUUCGGGUUGUAAAGUACUUUCAGCGAGGAGGAAGGCGUUGUGGUUAAUAACCGCAGCGAUUGACGUUACUCGCAGAAGAAGCACCGGCUAACUCCGUGCCAGCAGCCGCGGUAAUACGGAGGGUGCAAGCGUUAAUCGGAAUUACUGGGUGUAAAGCGCACGCAGGCGGUCUGUCAAGUCGGAUGUGAAAUCCCCGGGCUCAACCUGGGAACUGCAUCCGAAACUGGCAGGCUAGAGUCUUGUAGAGGGGGGUAGAAUUCCAGGUGUAGCGGUGAAAUGCGUAGAGA